CUCUGACCUUGCUAAUUUUUACUUCUGUGUUUUUGAGAUUUCUUAUAUCGCUACUAGCUUUUACCCUGAUUCCCCCCCUCUCCCCACCACUAUCUUGAAGAGCUAAAGGCUGCAUGGCUAAAAUCAUCUCAGCUGGAUUCUGUCAACAAGAAACUUCAAAGAACUCAUUCAGCUACACCAAAAUUAAAUUGGGAAGCUAAAGACAUGCUGCAUAGUUACAUGUCUGAAACUUUGCAGCUUUUUUCCAAUCCUCUUCCCAGUAUUCAUACUGGAAAAGGUAAGAAAAGGUGAGAGAACCUGCUUUUCUACCAUAGUAAUCUUUUU
rnacentral:lncRNA from 1 species